CACCACCCUGUGGCCCAACUUCCCAGCAGCCAUAGCACUGGGCUCCUCACCUGGCCCCUGUCUAGAAGGUGACUGUGCCCCCCUCUGACAGGAUCCCAGCUGCUGGCGUCUCUCAGGUGACCGCCUUCCUCACGGCCCCUCCUCCCACCUCUGAAUCUGCCAGAGAGCCUCCGUACUAUGACGUGGCGCCUUCUACGUCCUUCAUAAAGGAUGAUGGAGAAUUUCGGGGCUGGCAAGACCAGGGCACACAGACAGAAUGGCUCUAUGAGAGCAAGGCACCUGGAAAAUCAAAACGAAAAGCAGAAAAAGAGAGUUCAGCACCGAUACUACCCACCUUCAAGUCGGACUUAGAAGAGCAUAUUAUCACUGAACUACAAGAGGA